UGGGGAAUUUUGGACAAUGGGCGAAAGCCUGAUCCAGCAAUGCCGCGUGUGUGAAGAAGGCCUUCGGGUUGUAAAGCACUUUUGUCCGGAAAGAAAUCCUUGGCUCUAAUACAGUCGGGGGGAUGACGGUACCGGAAGAAUAAGCACCGGCUAACUACGUGCCAGCAGCCGCGGUAAUACGUAGGGUGCAAGCGUUAAUCGGAAUUACUGGGCGUAAAGCGUGCGCAGGCGGUUUGCUAAGACCGAUGUGAAAUCCCCGGGCUCAACCUGGGAACUGCAUUGGUGACUGGCAGGCUAGAGUAUGGCAGAGGGGGGUAGAAUUCCACGUGUAGCAGUGAAAUGCGUAGAGAUGUGGAGGAAUACCGAUGGCGAAGGCAGCCCCCUGGGCCAAUACUGACGCUCAUGCACGAAAGCGUGGGGAGCAAACAGGAUUAGAUACCCUGGUAGUCCACGCCCUAAACGAUGUCAACUAGUUGUUGGGGAUUCAUUUCCUAGUAACGUAGCUAACGCGUGAAGUUGACCGCCUGGGGAGUACGGUCGCAAGAUU
rnacentral:rRNA from 1 species